GCAUGACCGGUCGACCAGCCGUGUCACUCUCGGUUCUCUUUCAUGGACAACUUUGACGCCAUUGGUUCUUGCGAAGUACGGCACUGCAAUUUCACUGGGACGGAACUUCUGGCUACUGACGUGACGGCGGUGGAACUCUUCAGUGAAAACCUGGUUAAGGAAGCAGGCCUGAAUAUCAUUGGCAGUUUUCGCGGCUCGAAAGUCUGAUGUGCCGAAGGAAAAGACGAUAAUCCUAACGAUUUAAUCAAAACAAAUCAACAAGCAAGAACUAGGCACGGAUACCGCAGCCUGAGCCAAGCUGCAACAGUAUGGACAAGUAUGUUACUAGUGAAGAAUUUCGAGAGUUAAUGAGGCGGCAGUACACGGCCGAGUCUCCCUACACGCUGGGCGAAUACGAAGGAGUGUCACUCACGCUAGAUGUGUGUGAAAUUAUGGACGACAUCAAGAGCUUCGAAGUCAGGCCUGACGACUGUUGGGUGGUGACUUACCCAAAGGCAGGCACUACCUGGGUUCAGGAAAUCAUGUCAGCCGUGAUGCAUGACGGGAAUCUGGAGGAAAUCAAUAAAACGCAUACUAUGUUGCGUGUGCCUUACCUUGAAGAAAAUAUGCCGGAAAAAGUCAGGCGUCUAAAAAACGAGACAGUUUAGGCCAUGUGCUAGGGGUCUACAACCAAGUGCAGUUCAGUAGAGGUGCGGGGUGGGGGUUCUGCGUUGGCAGAGGCUUUUGUACCGAGGCUUACGAGAGUGAAUCAGGUCUGCUAACAGAGUGACAGAUUCCCCUGAAACACAGAAUAGCAGACGAGAUGCCGUCUCCCAGGGUUCUGAAGUCUCACCUUCCUGGCCAACUCUUGCCUGCCCAAA
rnacentral:misc_RNA from 1 species